rnacentral:rRNA from 1 species
AUUGAACGCUGGCGGCAGGCCUAACACAUGCAAGUCGAGCGGAUGAAGGGAGCUUGCUCCUGGAUUCAGCGGCGGACGGGUGAGUAAUGCCUGGGAAUCUGCCUGGUAGUGGGGGAUAACGUCCGGAAACGGGCGCUAAUACCGCAUACGUCCUGAGGGAGAAAGUGGGGGAUCUUCGGACCUCACGCUAUCAGAUGAGCCUAGGUCGGAUUAGCUAGUUGGUGGGGUAAAGGCCUACCAAGGCGACGAUCCGUAACUGGUCUGAGAGGAUGAUCAGUCACACUGGAACUGAGACACGGUCCAGACUCCUACGGGAGGCAGCAGUGGGGAAUAUUGGGCAAUGGGCGAAAGCCUGAUCCAGCCAUGCCGCGUGUGUGAAGAAGGUCUUCGGAUUGUAAAGCACUUUAAGUUGGGAGGAAGGGCAGUAAGUUAAUACCUUGCUGUUUUGACGGUACCAACAGAAUAAGCACCGGCUAACUUCGUG